CAUAGUUCCCUUGUUAGGUCGUGACUAUAAACCACAUCCUGUUCCAUUCCUGCCAGCCAGUAACUUGGAUCUGAGUUUACAGCGUGUACAGGUUCACCAAAACUGAACAGCUGAACACAGGACAAACAUCACCUGGUCUGGCCUUUUUCUAAUCUGUUCAGUUUUGAUUAGUCUGUACCCGUUGUAGCUUCAGAUAUCUCUUCUUGGCUGACAGAAUAUAACUUGAUGUGGUCUUUUAAAUGUAUUAUAGAUAAAGUAGGAGUGGCCUGGAUGAUACUCUCUCAAGGAGCACUGUCUCUUAGCUCUGGUCUCUCUAGCAGCUUCUUUAAAUUCUUUUCCUCUCAUCCAGAGCACUUUGCUGGAUGCGUUGGAAGGAUUGUAUAAGGACAAAUAAGUUACUAUCCUGAGACAGUAACCCACAGUGGAGCGCAGUGAGGAUGAAUUCAUCUUUCACUGACGCAGCAGCAAUUCAAGUGAAAUAUUUUACACCACAAGUGUAACCAAGCAAUAUCUAACAUGCAAUUAGUGUUCUAUAACCUAAUAGCUCUCUCUCUCUCUCUCUCUCUCUCUCUCUCUCUCUCUCUCUCUCUCUCUCUCUCUCUCUCUCUCUCUCUCUCUCUCUCACACACACACACACACACACACACACACACACACACUUUAUUAAAUACUACAUUAUCAACCUUCUCCUCGUAGCUCAACCUGAUACUGUGUGAGGACAAUUUGCUCAGGCUCUAAUGGUUUUGUGUUACAGCUGAACACUGCUACUGUCCAUUCAGUCCACCCUACUGAACUCCUCACUAACAAAGGGAAGCAUGUUUCCUGUCAGUCCACAGAUACCACCCGAUAGGAGGCAUGGCUCAGCACUAAGCCAGGAAAAUCUGCAACUGAUCACCCCUGAACAUCAAAAUCACCAGGAAUGUGAUCUUAUUGCUUAGUCCAGAAUCCAACAUUCUUCAAGAAAGGCUCUUAUAAGCCUUGUGAUGCUGUGAAAUGACAAGAAGUGAACGAAAACACAGGUGCCAUGCUGGUGUGGGUAACAGUGGCAGAUAUGGAGAAAAGAAGGAUGUCAUGCAGGGAGACAGACAAGUGCAUAAACACACACAGCUGCCACUUCCUGUGAUGCUAAAGUCUGACGUUGAUGUAGUCUGGCUGCCAUCAGAGCCAGCUGUCACUUCUUACACUCAACACUCCACACUCAGAGAGAGUGAGAGAGAGAUAGAAAAAAGAGAUAGAAUAAGAUAUCGGCAGAUACAGAUAGAUUUGUGUCUCCUCAUUCUGGUAAUGUAAAAAUAGCUAAAUUUAGAUAUUAAGAAAUUAACGGUUUAUUGAAAAAAUAAAUCCCAUGUAUGUUUGGGCACUGGGUAAUGAAUCUUUUUGUGUUUGUAACUAAACUUCCUUGGAAGAACCUGGUUUAGUGAAGAUAUCUCUAGAGCCUAGAUGAGGACUUUUUUCAUUUGUCAACUGGCAAACAGUGUUCUCAGUGCUUAUCUUUUGCCUUAGUUCAAUCUGCGCAUUGUCAGCGCAUUGUCCUUGCCAAACUUUUUUUUAUCUCUAUUGUUUUUUUUUUGUCUUUUUUUAAUCUCUAUUGUAUGAGAAACAUCUGUAUCACACUAUUCAGUUAUACAGAAUUGCUGGGAGGAAGGUUUUCUAGGAUCAGGAAAGUUAUACUGUAUUUCUUCAAGAAUCAAUGAGACUGUGAUAUUAUGGGAUGAAAUAUGAAUAAACUCCCACAAAAUAAUUGUUAUAUAAGCCAUGUCCUGCAAGAAAUUGCUUAUUUGGAAAAAUAAAUUCCCUGAAUAUGGAUUACAUGCUGUGAUGUAGGCAGUUAUGAGUGGGCUGCUUUUCAAACACAGCAAAUAGCAAGAGUAUAAGAAUUCAUGAAAGAAAGUCAAAAUUCUUUGACAUUUAAAGCCCUUUAAAGUGAGAGGGAAAGUGGCAAGGAGAAUUACAUAACACUGUGCUAUCUGGUGAGAUAAAGCUCAGAGUCUUAUUUAUUUAUUUAUUUAUUUAUUUAUUUAUUUAUUUAUUUAUUUAUUUAUUUAUUUGUUUGUUUGUUUCUGUUUGUUUAUUUAUUUUAUUUCCUUAACAGGGUAUAAAAGGAUAUACCUUUCUUUGGGGUUUACUAGCAUGCAAGUUUGCUAUUAUAGCAUUAUAAUAAUAGUGUAAUAUUAUGAUAGCAUUAUUUCUGUCAAUUUAUUCCAAUUCAGUAUAUAAAUACAAAAUAUUCCAAAAUAUAUCAAAUAGUACAUGCAUACCAAAUAUGCCUGUAGUAUGCUAGCUGUGUUGCAUGAAACAUUUGGUUUAUACAACAUAGGAAUUUUACAUCCAGAUGCACUGUCAAUCCUGAAGCCACCAGUUCCACCACAACCUAAUCAAUCAUGAACAUUAUAUCGCUCUCACUUACAUAAUUAUACUAUACAGUUUCCUGUUUAUUUCUUUUUUACACCCAUCACAUUUACAUUCACUCAUCCCAGAGUAUUCAAAGCUAAUCACUAUCUAACAUCUUUUUUGGCUUUUGCUAUUCUGAAUGUUUGCUUUGACUUUUAUGUUUAUUCUUUAUCUUCAUUUUGUUUAUCCAACAAUUCUCUAUUUGAUUGGUUCACCAUGACUUUGUCUUCUGAUCAGGAUUGUUAAUAAAACUAAGCUCAUGCUUAUA